AGCGGUUUUGUAAUGCGGUAUGGU
rnacentral:siRNA from 1 species